AUUUAAGGGGGUCCACUACUAAAAAAUAUUUUGCUCUUUCUUUUCAUAGUAUCAAACUGAUCUUUUAGUAUGUUGUUAGGCUAUAUCCCCUGACAUAAAAAAUGUAUGAUUGCAAAGUCUUGUUGCCAUGGUUACCAAAAUAUGCCACGCCCGAUGGUGAAAUUGACCCCAUUUUGUAAACAUGAUUACUACAUAACCAUUGAUGAUAAAAUUAUGAAAUAACUUUUAUUUACUCAAACACAACAAGGUCUAGGAGGUGAACUAAAACAUUUGAGAUUGAAGCAUUUUUAACAAUUCCACGGAUGAAAUAAUGGAAAAGCAUGCGGCUGUUUCCAAGAAAGUAGACACUGCUCUAAAACUAUGGAACAGAAUUUAUUUCUUUUAGUUCAACUCCUAGAGAUGGUUAUGCUGAGUCUAUCCUGAAAAUUUCAUCAAGAUAGCUUCAAUACUUCUUGAGAUAUCCUGCAUGCAAUAUCGGAAAUUGUUGAUUUUCGGCAUUUUGAGAAAAAUGCAUUUAAAGUCUAAUAUUUAGUUUAUCAUCAACACAAUCAGGUCUAAAUUGUCAUAUGGCCUUACCAUGUCAUUAUUUACAAUGUCAGAAAGCUCCUGCUUCAUAUGUGAUGCCCUCUGUUUCCUUGUUCUUGUCAUCCUUCUUCUUUUUCUGGCCACGGAGGAUUUUUCUUCUUUUCCUUAUUGCAGGAGUGUUCCGAUGUUCCGCCUUCUUUACUCGUUGCUUGUCGGCUUUAAGCAUGUUUUGUUCAAAAUAUUGUCCUGGUACUAAUCCUAGCUCACUAAGAAUGUCCACUGCUGCUUUGGUACCAAUAUUAAAAUGAGCCACUGCAUCAUAUGCUCCAAAAUUCAGGACCUCGGCUCCAACAAAAACUGUUUUCGGCAACCGGUUCCAGAUCAUCCCGUUCAAGGACUCGUUUUGGUUCUGUGUUUUGCCAUCCAAACACUUUGUCAAGAGAUCAUUAUUGCUAAGCCUGAUAUAAAUAGGCUUAAUUAAGGCAAUAAUGUUGUCAGGAAGACCAGGUCCUGGUUUAUACAGAUGCGUAUUAUUGGCCACAUCUUGUUUGUAUCGACACCAGCUCUCAGGACCAUCUGGACAAUGGGUGUGCAGGUUCCGUCGCUUGGAAGAAACACAAUGAAACAGGCUGGCAAGUAUUGAGGAUUUCAUGGCAGCUAAAUUUCCAGAAUUACUUCUUAUGGCAAUUCCAUAAUAGUUCUGAAGUUUAUCGAUCAAAGCAUCGGUUAGCUUUCCUUUCCCUCCAAUUCCUUUAUUUUCUUUCUUCAGCUUCCUCAGUGCUGUGCCGACUCUCUUCUGAACGUGACCAACACAUUCUUUCUUCUCUACAUGAACUCCUUCAUAGCAGUUCUCCACCUCAUUGUAAGCCUUGCUGUCACCAUCGCCAAAGUACUCGGUGUAUUGUAGCUUACGGGAUUCCUCACUUCUUUCGAAGAUUCUCUUGAUCCCAGUAGGUUCCAUCGACGGCGCAGAUCCAACA
rnacentral:lncRNA from 1 species